rnacentral:lncRNA from 1 species
CAUUGCUGCUGAGGGAACAACGUUCUCGUGCCAGUUGGCGAGGGCUGGCUGCUCCCAGAGGAAGACUGGUUGUAAUUAGAAGAGAAAGUUGCUUGUUGAAUGGCCAACCAGAACUAAGACACACAUAUUUGUGAAGAACCCUGAGGUUCUCAGCAGCUUUCCUCAUAGGCACAUGGACAUUUCAUGGGACCCUGGAAAGAUCACACAGUGAGGAAGACAAUCAUUCUCAUCCGGCCUGUGCACCUGCUGCAGUACGGUCACCUGGUCUGGCUCCAUCGAAGCAGAAGGAAAGGAAGAUUUCACUCUGAGAGGGAACAUAAGAGUCCGGGUGUCGUGUGAGCUGAAGCGUGGGGACCACAGCUUGAUAUUAGUCUUUCCAUUAUUUUGAGUUUCUACAAGUGCUUCCUAUAAAAUUUAUCUGUUUUGAAGCCAGAGGGAUUAAUAGUUUCUCAAUGAUAAAAGGCUAUCUUGUGAAGACAACAAUGCGUAUAUUAUUUGAAGUUAUUAUAUGCCAUUUGAUAGUGGUUCUUUUUUGACUCCUGUAUAAACCUUUUGGAGGAGAGAUCUCAAAGAUACAUAUAUAUAUAUAAAUCAUAUAUAUAUAUAAGUAUAUAUCUUUUGCAUAUACAUAAGUAUAUAUAUUAUUGCAAAUCCUGUUAAAAAUGUUUC